rnacentral:pre_miRNA from 1 species
AGUGGAAUAUCUGGAUUGUAUGGUAGAGGUAAAUGUUUAUCUUCUAAAGAAACUGCAGAACUGCUUUCUGAAGUGUUUGUAUUAUUUUACAUUUCUGUUGGUAGU